GAUGAACGCUGGCGGCGUGCCUAAUACAUGCCAGUCGAGCGAACGGACGAGAAGCUUGCUUCUCUGAUGUUAGCGGCGGACGGGUGAGUAACACGUGGAUAACCUACCUAUAAGACUGGGAUAACUUCGGGAAACCGGAGCUAAUACCGGAUGAUAUUUUGAACCGCAUUGUUCAAAAGUGAAAGACGGUCUUGCUGUCACUUAUAGAUGGAUCCGCGCUGCAUUAGCUAGUUGGUAAGGUAACGGCUUACCAAGGCAACGAUGAAUAGCCGACCUGAGAGGGUGAUCGGCAACACUGGAACUGAGACACGGUCCAGACUCCUACGGGAGGCAGCAGUAGGGAAUCUUCCGAAAUGGGCGAAAGCCUGACGGAGCAACGCCGCGUGAGUGAUGAAGGUCUUCGGAUCGUAAAACUCUGUUAUUAGGGAAGAACAUAUGUGUAAGUAACUGUGCACAUCUUGACGGUACCUAAUCAGAAAGCCACGGCUAACUACGUG
rnacentral:rRNA from 1 species